rnacentral:rRNA from 1 species
UACAGAGGUCUCGAGCGUUGUUCGGAUUCAUUGGGCGUAAAGGGUGCGUAGGUGGCGCUGUAAGUCGGGUGUGAAAUCCUGAGGCUUAACCUCGGAACUGCAUUCGAUACUGCGGCGCUUGAGGACUGGAGAGGAGACUGGAAUUCAUGGUGUAGCAGUGAAAUGCGUAGAGAUCAUGAGGAAGACCAGUGGCGAAGGCGGGUCUCUGGACCGUAACUGACGCUGAGGAGCGAAAGCGUGGGGAGCGAACAGG